rnacentral:rRNA from 1 species
UUUAAAUGUUAAUUUUAAAACUAAAUUAGUAGUAGUUAUGUUCUUAAAAUUUAAAGAUUUUGGCGGUAUUUUAGUCUAUUCAGAGGAACCUGUUCUGUAAUUGAUAGUCCACGAUUAACAUUACUUAAUUUUAAAAGCUUGUAUAUCGUUGUUUAUAGAAAAUUUUAUAAGAAUGGUAAUUUUUAGUAAAUUAAAUUAAAUUUUAAAUCAAAUCAAGGUGCAGUUUAUAAUUAAGUAGAAAUGGGUUACAAUAAAAUUAUUUAUUUAUGGAUUUUUAAUUUAAAUAUUUAAAUGAAGGUGGAUUUGAUUGUAAUAUUAUUAAUUUUAAUAAUAUGAUUAUAGCUCUAAAGUAUGU